rnacentral:rRNA from 1 species
GAUGAACGCUGGCGGCGUGCUUAAUACAUGCAAGUCGAACGCAGGGACUUGAUGCUUGCUUCUGUGAUGUUAGCGGCGGACGGGUGAGUAACACGUGGAUAACCUGCCUAUGAGUCUGGGAUAAGUUCGGGAAACCGGAGCUAAUACUGGAUAAUACUUUGCACCGCAUGGUUCAAUGUGGAAAGACUUUCUUUGGGUUUGUUUUAGAUGGAUCCGCGCUGCAUUAGCUAGUUGGUAAUGUAACGGCUUACCAAGGCAACGAUGCCUAGCCGACCUGAUAGGGUGAUCGGCCACACUGGAACUGAGCCACGGUCCAGACUCCUACGGGAGGCAGCAGUAGGGAAUCUUCCGCAAUGGGCGAAAGCCUGACGGAGCAACGCCGCGUGAGUGAUGAAGGUCUUCGGAUCGUAAAACUCUGUUAUUAGGGAAGAACAUAUGUGUAAGUAACUGUGCACAUCUUGACGGUACCUAAUCAGAAAGCCACGGCUAACUACGUG